GAUGAACGCUGGCGGCGUGCCUAAUACAUGCAAGUCGAGCGAACGGACGAGAAGCUUGCUUCUCUGAUGUUAGCGGCGGACGGGUGAGUAACACGUGGAUAACCUACCUAUAAGACUGGGAUAACUUCGGGAAACCGGAGCUAAUACCGGAUAAUAUUUUGAACCGCAUGGUUCAAAAGUGAAAGACGGUCUUGCUGUCACUUAUAGAUGGAUCCGCGCUGCAUUAGCUAGUUGGUAAGGUAACGGCUUACCAAGGCAACGAUGCAUAGCCGACCUGAGAGGGUGAUCGGCCACACUGGAACUGAGACACGGUCCAGACUCCUACGGGAGGCAGCAGUAGGGAAUCUUCCGCAAUGGGCGAAAGCCUGACGGAGCAACGCCGCGUGAGUGAUGAAGGUCUUCGGAUCGUAAAACUCUGUUAUUAGGGAAGAACAUAUGUGUAAGUAACUGUGCACAUCUUGACGGUACCUAAUCAGAAAGCCACGGCUAACUACGUGCCAGCAGCCGCGGUAAUACGUAGGUGGCGAGCGUUAUCCGGAAUUAUUGGGCGUAAAGCGCGCGUAGGCGGUUUUUUAAGUCUGAUGUGAAAGCCCACGGCUCAACCGUGGAGGGUCAUUGGAAACUGGAAAACUUGAGUGCAGAAGAGGAAAGUGGAAUUCCAUGUGUAGCGGUGAAAUGCGCAGAGAUAUGGAGGAACACCAGUGGCGAAGGCGACUUUCUGGUCUGUAACUGACGCUGAUGUGCGAAAGCGUGGGGAUCAAACAGGAUUAGAUACCCUGGUAGUCCACGCUGUAAACGAUGAGUGCUAAGUGUUAGGGGGUUUCCGCCCCUUAGUGCUGCAGCUAACGCAUUAAGCACUCCGCCUGGGGAGUACGACCGCAAGGUUGAAACUCAAAGGAAUUGACGGGGACCCGCACAAGCGGUGGAGCAUGUGGUUUAAUUCGAAGCAACGCGAAGAACCUUACCAAAUCUUGACAUCCUUUGACAACUCUAGAGAUAGAGCCUUCCCCUUCGGGGGACAAAGUGACAGGUGGUGCAUGGUUGUCGUCAGCUCGUGUCGUGAGAUGUUGGGUUAAGUCCCGCAACGAGCGCAACCCUUAAGCUUAGUUGCCAUCAUUAAGUUGGGCACUCUAAGUUGACUGCCGGUGACAAACCGGAGGAAGGUGGGGAUGACGUCAAAUCAUCAUGCCCCUUAUGAUUUGGGCUACACACGUGCUACAAUGGGCAAUACAAAGGGCAGCGAAACCGCGAGGUCAAGCAAAUCCCAUAAAGUUGUUCUCAGUUCGGAUUGUAGUCUGCAACUCGACUGCAUGAAGCUGGAAUCGCUAGUAAUCGUAGAUCAGCAUGCUACGGUGAAUACGUUCCCGGGUCU
rnacentral:rRNA from 1 species